CCCACAGUAAGUUAAAUAAACUAUGGGGCUCAUGCCCCCUCAUUGGUCCUUAAGCAGGCCCUGUGGCU
rnacentral:tRNA from 1 species